UACGUAGGGUGCAAGCGUUGUCCGGAAUUAUUGGGCGUAAAGAGCUCGUAGGCGGUCUGUCGCGUCGGAUGUGAAAACCAAGGGCUCAACCCUGGGCCUGCAUUCGAUACGGGCAGACUAGAGUUCGGUAGGGGAGACUGGAAUUCCUGGUGUAGCGGUGAAAUGCGCAGAUAUCAGGAGGAACACCGGUGGCGAAGGCGGGUCUCUGGGCCGAAACUGACGCUGAGGAGCGAAAGCGUGGGGAGCAAACAGG
rnacentral:rRNA from 1 species